GGCUUUCUUACUUUUAAAGGAUAGUAGAAAUCCAUUGGUCUUAGGAACCAAAAA
rnacentral:tRNA from 1 species